rnacentral:rRNA from 1 species
GACGAACGCUGGCGGCAGGCUUAACACAUGCAAGUCGCACGAGAACGCUCUGGCUUCGGCCGGGGCAAGUACAGUGGCGGACGGGUGCGUAUCGCGUAGAUAACCUGCCCUCAGGCGCGGGACAAUCACGGGAAACCGUGGCUAAUACCGCACGUCGUCUGGACCCCGCAUGGGGACCAGAUGAAAGCCUUCGGGCGCCUUUGGAUGGGUCUACGUUGGAUUAGCUUGUUGGUGAAGUAACGGCUCACCAAGGCAACGAUCCAUAGCUGGUCUGAGAGGACGAUCAGCCACACUGGGACUGAGACACGGCCCAGACUCCUACGGGAGGCAGCAGUGGGGAAUCUUGCACAAUGGGGUCACCCCUGAUGCAGCCAUGCCGCGUGGAGGAAGACACCCCUAUGGGGCGUAAACUCCUUUUCUGAACGAAGAGACCCCUGUAGGUUCAGGGCGCGACGGUAGUUCAGGAAUAAGCACCGGCUAACUCCGUGCCAGCAGCCGCGGUAAUACGGAGGGUGCAAGCGUUGUCCGGAAUCACUGGGUGUAAAGCGCGCGUAGGCGGCAACGCAAGUCAGGUGUGAAAGCCCUCGGCUCACCCGGGGAAUUGCACUUGAAACUGCGUAGCUAGAGUUCUGGAGAGGGUGGCGGAAUUCCCGGUGUAGGAGUGAAAUCCGUAGAGAUCGGGAGGAACACCAGAGGCGAAGGCGGCCACCUGGCCAGAAACUGACGCUGAGGCGCGAAAGCGUGGGUAGCAAACAGGAUUAGAUACCCUGGUAGUCCACGCUGUAAACAUUGGAUGCUAGAUGCGGGUGACGUAGAAGUUAUUCGUGUCGCAGCUAACGCGUUAAGCAUCCCGCCUGGGGAGUACGGCCGCAAGGCUGAAACUCAAAGGAAUUGACGGGGGCCUGCACAAGCGGUGGAGUAUGUGGUUUAAUUCGAUGCAACGCGAAGAACCUUACCUGGGCUUGACAUCCCGGGAAUCGCGCAGAGAUGUGCGAGUGCCCUUCGGGGAGCCCGGUGACAGGUGCUGCAUGGCUGUCGUCAGCUCGUGCCGUGAGGUGUUGGGUUAAGUCCCGCAACGAGCGUAACCCCUGUUGCUAGUUACCAUCGGGUAGUGCCGGGGACUCUAGCGAAACUGCCUGCGCAAGCAGUGAGGAAGGUGGGGAUGACGUCAAGUCAUCAUGGUCCUUACGCCUAGGGCUGCACACGUGCUACAAUGGCCGGUACAACGGGUAGCCACCUCGCGAGAGGGAGCGAAUCCUUGAAAAACCGGUCCCAGUUCGGAUUGGAGUUCUGCGAACUGAACUCCAUGAAAGCAGAAAUCGCUAGUUAAUCGCGGAAUCAGCGAAUGCCGCGGUGAAUCCGUUUCCCGGGCUUUGUACGCACCGCCCGUCGAAGCCGUGGAAAGCUGGAAGGCCCGAAAGUUCCGUGAACUCACUCCGGCUCUUCGUUCGGAGAAAGAACGGCCGAAAAUGGGGCUCAGUAACGAGGCGU